CUCCCAGACUCCUACGGGAGGCAGCAGUAGGGAAUUUUGCGCAAUGGGGGAAACCCUGACGCAGCAACGCCGCGUGAUUGAUGAAGCCCUUCGGGGUGUAAAGAUCUGUCAGUGGGGACGAAACUUGACGGUACCCACAGAGGAAGCAUCGGCUAACUCCGUGCCAGCAGCCGCGGUAAUACGGAGGAUGCGAGCGUUAUCCGGAUUUAUUGGGUUUAAAGGGUGCGCAGGCGGAAUGUCAAGUCAGCGGUAAAAUUUCGGGGCUCAACCCCGUCGUGCCGUUGAAACUGGCGUUCUUGAGUGAGCGAGAAGUAUGCGGAAUGCGUGGUGUAGCGGUGAAAUGCAUAGAUAUCACGCAGAACUCCGAUUGCGAAGGCAGCAUACCGGCGCUCAACUGACGCUCAUGCACGAAAGCGUGGGUAUCGAACAGGAUUAGAUACCCUAGUA
rnacentral:rRNA from 1 species